AAUCCAGGGAUAGGUGGAGUCCCUCUAAAGCCCUAAGGGUGGAGGGGGAAGGUAAAGGAGGUCCCAGAGUGGGGAGGCAUUUGGGGCCAGUCAACACCAAGGUUCCCCAUUUCUAGGGCUAGAUUCUGGGUCCUGAAUGACUCCUCCAUGGGCAGCCUGAGGACCUCCACUGUUCCCAAGUCCUACCUGGGUAGAUGACAUCCACCAAUCCAGCUCUGGCCAGGGACCCCGAGUUCCAGCCCUGGUCAGGGAACUAGAUCCCACAUGAUGCAACUAAGAGUUUGAAUGCCACAACUAAAGAUCCUGCGUGCCACAACAAAGAUCAAAGAUCCUGCAGGCUGCAACUGAGACCCAGCGCAGCCAAAUAAAUAAAUAAAAAUGAAUACAUUAAUAAAUAAAGCAGGGUGGAUGAGCAAAAAUUCUGGUUUCCAGAACUUCCCUGCUGGUUCAGUGGUUAAGAUUCCACUUUAGAGGGCAUGGGUUCAAUCCCUGGUAAGGGAACUACCACAUGACACGUGGUGUGGCCAAAAAAAAAAAAAUCUGGUGUCUAGGACAGAAGGGAGAGUAUGAAACCUAAAACGAAGCCUGAGUCCAGGGCUGGUGGAGAGAAGACAUAGGCUCAGGGCAGAAGGCUGGGGUGGGUACUCACUUUGACCUCAGCUCCUUGUGGGCAGUGUGACCCCUGGGCCUGGGCCAGAACUGCAGAUGGGCAGCAUAGCCAGACUGCAGGUGGAGAGCCAUGUGGACUCCUCCUCAAUCCCAGUCAUGCUCACAGAACCAGGGACUCCUCUGAGAUUUGAGGGAGCUAGCCCCUCCCCUACUACACAGGCACAUACCUCUUUUUCAGCAGAUGUCUGGGGGUCCCAGAAGCUCCACUUACUACUGCAGGACAAGAAAGGGCCACCCUAGAACUCAAAGGCCUGAUUAGCACCCUUGAGCCACACUUACCUUCCAGCCUCAGUGUGCUUAUCCAGAAAAGGGAGAUACUGACCCAGUGCUUAGUUUGGGGUGCUGCCAGGAC
ensembl:lncRNA